GACGUAGGGCGCGAGCGUUGUCCGGAUUUAUUGGGCGUAAAGAGCUCGUAGGCGGCUUGUCGCGUCGACUGUGAAAUCCCGCGGCUCAACUGCGGGUCUGCAGUCGAUACGGGCAGGCUAGAGUUCGGUAGGGGAGACUGGAAUUCCUGGUGUAGAGGUGAAAUUCGUAGAUAUCAGGAGGAACACCAGUGGCGAAGGCGGCUUCCUGGACACUAACUGACGCUGAGACGGCGAAAGCGUGGGGAGCAAACAGG
rnacentral:rRNA from 1 species